GAACGCACAUUGCACUCUCUGGUAUUCCGGAGAGUAUGCUUGUUUGAGUAUCUGUAAACAUCUCAACCCUCAAGGCGCUUGCGUCGGGAGGAUUGGACUUGAGCGAUCCCGACUCUUUCGUGAGGAAGAGGAGGGUCGCUUGAAAUGCAGGUGCAGCAGGACAUUCUUCUGAGCUAAAAGCAUAUCUAUUUAGUCCCGUCAAACGGAUUAUUACUUUUGCUUCAGCUAACAUAAAGGUCGAAUGCGCCACAAUCGCUGAUUGCAGGAAAACUCGUUCGUAAGAACUUGUGAACUCGAUCUCAAAUCAAGUAAGACUACCCGCUGAACUUAAG
rnacentral:misc_RNA from 1 species